UAUAUUUUAGUGUAAGAUGCACCUAAAUUUUUGAUAUUUAUGGGUAUAUAUGUAUUUAUUAUAUAUAU
rnacentral:tRNA from 1 species